AAAUAGUGAAUCAAGAUCUAGAUGGAUCCCUAUCUUUAUCUCUAUCCACGGAGAUACCUAUCUAUAUGGAGAGAGAUCUAUCUAUGAAUCGGCCUAGACUAUCCUCUAUCCGGAUAGAUAUGUCCCUAUGAGCGACUACGCCGAUCUUUAUAUGUUUUGGCCACGUCCCUUUCCGCUCCGAAGAAGAAGGUUUGGAUCUUUCAAUCUUAUGUCGUGAGGUAUGUGACCUAUGUUAGGUCCAUAAAAUCUAUCAAUGAAUUGGCCUAGACUAUCCUCUAUCUGGAUAGAUAUGUCCCUAUGAGUGACUACACCGAUCUUUAUAUGUUUUGGCCACGUCCCUUUCCGCUCCGAAGAAGAAGGUUUGGAUCUUUCAAU
rnacentral:lncRNA from 1 species